rnacentral:piRNA from 1 species
UACCUGUGCUUGCUUCCUAAUUUUCAGUGU